AACGAACGCUGGCGGCAGGCUUAACACAUGCAAGUCGAACGCCCCGCAAGGGGAGUGGCAGACGGGUGAGUAACGCGUGGGAAUCUACCCAGUUCUAUGGAACAACUGAGGGAAACUUCAGCUAAUACCGUAUACGCCCUACGGGGGAAAGAUUUAUCGGAAUUGGAUGAGCCCGCGUUGGAUUAGCUAGUUGGUGGGGCAAUGGCCUACCAAGGCGACGAUCCAUAGCUGGUCUGAGAGGAUGAUCAGCCACACUGGGACUGAGACACGGCCCAGACUCCUACGGGAGGCAGCAGUGGGGAAUAUUGGACAAUGGGCGAAAGCCUGAUCCAGCCAUGCCGCGUGAGUGAUGAAGGCCCUAGGGUUGUAAAGCUCUUUCAGUGGGGAAGAUAAUGACGGUACCCACAGAAGAAGCCCCGGUUAACUUCGUGCCAGCAGCCGCAGUAACAC
rnacentral:rRNA from 1 species